rnacentral:lncRNA from 1 species
UUUUUUUUUUUUUUUUCUUUUCUGGGUCAGUUUUGGUUGGUCUUUCAAAUUAGGUCUUUGAGACUAAAAAUGAACAUAAAAUGAGCAGCUCUACACAGCAAGGUAAUGUUGGUCCAUUUAGUCUAAAGCAACCCAAUCAUCCAAUAUCCCCACAUGUUGAUAAACACAAUUGUAUCUAUGUUUACAGUAACAUAUCUAGAUCCAGAUUUGAUUGUAUGCUGGGGCUUAUGAUUCAAAAUUUAUCUUUGGCUUUAGUACAAUUUACUUCAAAAUCAGUAAAAAUAUCACAUAAAAUCAUUAAUUUCUGUUAAUGAAAGCUCUGUUUUAGUAAAACAUUUGAUUUGUUCAAUAGAUGUAACUAUGUUCAGAAUUAUGCCUCCUCCCUCCAAAAAAGUCCCAAAACUAAUGUUUAUUGUAAAUAUAUUUAGGAUUAAUUAUGAUCUAUUCAAAGCAAUGGUGACAAACAGCUUAUCUGCUAUUUACAUAAUAUAUAAAAUAAAUUUUAUUUGAAAAGAAUGAAAAUAAACUUUACUCUCGUUCUUUGAGUAUUUUCUUGUAUAAGCUGAAAUUUAAAGAAUGCUCCUUCUUAAACAAUGCAUAAUCAUUGGAAGGGGAAUUUUAUAAUAGCAUUUUUUUAAAUGGUAAAACAAAGUGAUACACUUCCCUUCUCUUUCUCAUCACCACCCAGUCCUUAGUACAUAAGAUCACUACCUACUCCUGUUUGUCCCUUACAAAUCUUCGUCACAUUCAGAACUGAUUUAUCUUUAAAUCAUCUCUUGUAGGUGUUUUUUCCCUUCUCCUAUUCUACUUAAGGAAAAUGUCCCUCCUACAAUUGGCAGGCAUAAUGAAUAUCCUCAAGACAACAUUAAAAUAAUUGCUUUCAUGAAACUGUUUUGUGCUUUUUAUCUGGGAUACCUAAGAACCAUCCAUGAACAAAAUAAUGUGGCUAUCAAAGGUUACUUACAAGUAGCAUUUUAAUACCUUCUCUUUCAUUCUCCAGGUUACUGUUGAGAAAGUUAUCCUACUUAAUAUUUAAUAGCCAGUGACUUCAAACCCAACUUCAUAUUGAAUGACAUUCUCUCGUUUAUGAACACAACAUAAAACACACAUACAUGGCCACUACUCACCCACUCUCACAAGCAAGCAUACACACACAUUUUCUUUCUUUCCAGAACAAGCCAGAAUUACAGCUCUUUUGGUGAUUGUUAUAAUUUUUGGAAUGGUUCAUAAAUUUUCCAAAUUCUUUUAAAUUUGUAUUACUUUCAUCUUUUUUUCUUUUUUUUUCCAAUUGUGAACCAUUCCAUAUUGCAUCUUUAUUGCAAAAGUCAACAUGCUUCUUAGAAAUUCAGAUUGUAAUUGAUAAAACAAACAUUACAUAUAUGAAUUUAAAUGUAUAAACAGUUAGAAAUUCAACAAUAUCUCCUAUUAUACUAUUACACAAGAUCACAAUUUUGUAAAAACUAUAAUACAGGCAUACUAUACAUCAAGAGGAACCACUAUUCCUUUUCACAUGAUUUUUUUCUUUUUUGAAAAAAAUGACUCAUCACCAAGGACCCUUUUCACCUUAACAGGACUGCUUUCCAAUUUAUCAUCUUAGCUGGUAACAAUAUUUCUUCAAUGUUAUACAAUGAAAUUGAGGGAAAUUUUGCAAUACUUGGGGUUACCUUUUUAUCUUGGACAGUAAUCCAGUAGUUUAUCAGGCUGACCUAAUCAACUGGUGGCUAUUAUUGAUACAUAUAAAUGAUGUCAUACACAUUAAGAGGAACAGAAUUUGCCUUAGAUGCUGUAUGUUAUUUCUGUAAAUAAAGAUGCCAAGAAAACAUGUAUGGCAGUUAUUCACUUUUAAGUGAAAUUCUAACAGCUGAAGAUUCGAUGGUGGAAGUAAAAUAUCCCAAAGGGGGCGGGGGAUAUAUAUAAACUAUUUUACGCUAACCUUAAGUGUUCCAAUAUUAUAAUUAACUCACUUUAAAUUCAUCUUUGAGUCAAACAUGUUUUAAAAUUCUUUGAAAGCAUACUUUUAAAGUAUUUUUAGUCCUGUUUAAGGUGUACUGAAAACUUUUAUAGAAAGGGCCUCAAAUCUUACUGAAAAAACUGUUUUUCACUUUAACACAUCUCUUUUUUAUCCUCUGCCCCCAAUACUAAAAAGUCAAAUUUUCAACUUUUUACUGAUAAGAUGUUCAUUUUGAGGUCAAAAAAAUCAUAUGAAAAGGAAUCUCAUUCUGUUGAACUGUCAAUCUACUGAAAUUUUUCUUACAGUUCCAUUUAUUUACUGUAAUUUUCAGUUUCCAAAUACAAAAAUACAACAAUUCUUAUUGAAAUCUAUACGCUGGUAGUUUUAGUACACAAAAAGAAAAAAAAAACAAAAAACAAAACACCCAAACAAAUUAUUUACAAAAUUAUACAGUUUAAGAAAAAGCUUUGUACAAAAAAUAUAUAAAUCCUUUGUUCCCUCUAUCACGAUUAAACUGUCAGGACUCAAAAUAUUCACCACAAUGAAUCUUUCAAAAUAUAUACCGACUGAGCCACAGACAUCAAGAAAAAUUUCAUUAGAGAUGAUGGAGGAGUAAGGAGCAAGAUUGUGUACUCUAGAUACACCAUUCUAAUGUUUUCCUUCUUUUAUAAGCUUAUUUUACCUUCAGUGUUACUAGAAAUAUAACAAUAACCUAGAAAGAGGAAGUCCUUAUUAUUAUGAAAGAAAAUUAUAUGAACUUAAAAAGGACCCUGGUUUGACACAUCAGUCCAGGAAAACACGUAGAAGAAUAAAGAUUAUCAGAACAUGGGAUUUAACUUCUUAUAGCUAAGUAAAUCUAGAAUCCUGAUGGUUUUAAGUUCUUGAGUGAAUAGUUUCUAUUUUGAGAAAUAGUCUUUACCUCAGCAAACAAAAUCUUUGACAUAGUGGUCACCAAGAACCUUUUGGAGCCAACAGGAGGUUUCAAUUUUUCAUACCACACAUAUAUAAAAACAAAGAUGUGUAUAUCCUUGAAAAAGUGAUGGCCUAUGUACAUUAAUCAUUUUAUUUUCCCAGGGGUCAGUACAGUGUAGUGUUGCUCCUCUGCUUUUCCAUCUAACAUUCAGAACACGAGGACAUAAAUUUACAUAUAUAUUUUACUUAACAGAUACUCUAUACAGUGUACAGUAAAAAUGCACACAGGAAACUCUACUGAGGGAUGCAUAUGUUCAUGGAUAGCAACAAACUACAAAAUUAUGAAAAAAUAAGGUCAUCUGAUCAAAGUCAUAUAUGACUCCCAUUUAUUACUAGUAUACUCAGCCCUCAACCCCCUCCCACCCACCUCCCACCCCCAGUCACCUCACUAUCAUGGUUUUAAUUUAGGAAAAGAAUUUCAGACAUUUUAAAACCCUUCUGUGUAACUAUAACUGAACUGAAGCUUCAAAAGAGGGAGAAAAAAAAAAAAGCUGGUGAUUCUCUUCUCCCCAAAAUCCUUUCAUCAUUCUCAUCAAAACAUCACUUAUUUAUCCAGGUACUGGUUUGAACCUUUUAUUGGAGACUGCCUGC